UACGGAGGGGGCUAGCGUUGUUCGGAAUUACUGGGCGUAAAGCGCACGUAGGCGGCGCGACAAGUUAGGCGUGAAAUGCCUGGGCUCAACCCAGGAACUGCGCUUAAGACUGUCGUGCUAGAGACCGGGAGAGGGUGGCGGAAUUCCCAGUGUAGAGGUGAAAUUCGUAGAUAUUGGGAAGAACACCGGUUGCGAAGGCGGCCACCUGGACCGGAACUGACGCUGAGGUGCGAAAGCGUGGGGAGCAAAC
rnacentral:rRNA from 1 species